rnacentral:rRNA from 1 species
UGGGCGUAAAGGGCUCGCAGGCGGUUUCUUAAGUCUGAUGUGAAAGCCCCCGGCUCAACCGGGGAGGGUCAUUGGAAACUGGGAAACUUGAGUGCAGAAGAGGAGAGUGGAAUUCCACGUGUAGCGGUGAAAUGCGUAGAGAUGUGGAGGAACACCAGUGGCGAAGGCGACUCUCUGGUCUGUAACUGACGCUGAGGAGCGAAAGCGUGGGGAGCGAACAGGAUUAGAUACCCUGGUAGUCCACGCCGUAAACGAUGAGUGCUAAGUGUUAGGGGGUUUCCGCCCCUUAGUGCUGCAGCUAACGCAUUAAGCACUCCGCCUGGGGAGUACGGUCGCAAGACUGAAACUCAAAGGAAUUGACGGGGGCCCGCACAAGCGGUGGAGCAUGUGGUUUAAUUCGAAGCAACGCGAAGAACCUUACCAGGUCUUGACAUCCUCUGACAACCCUAGAGAUAGGGCUUUCCCUUCGGGGACAGAGUGACAGGUGGUGCAUGGUUGUCGUCAGCUCGUGUCGUGAGAUGUUGGGUUAAGUCCCGCAACGAGCGCAACCCUUGAUCUUAGUUGCCAGCAUUCAGUUGGGCACUCUAAGGUGACUGCCGGUGACAAACCGGAGG